UGAACAGAAAGCCCAGUGUGCAAAAGCCCGGCCCGCGUCACAAGGGCAAGCAUGGCCCGUCCUCCUCUCUGUCUAUGGUCGUCGCCGUCCUCGUCCAGCCGUCGUCCUCAAGAUGGCGGCGGUGGAUCUGUCCAAGCUGGUGAAGGAGAAGCGCUUCUGGGUGGCCUCCUUCCUCGUCGCAUGGGCAGCCGCGCUGCAGGGCCGCAUGAUGUGGAUGCAGCGCCAGGAAGCCUUCAAGCACAAGUUCGGCGCAGACGCCUCCGACGCCUCUUCCCCCUUGGACUCCUCCUCUACCUAGCAUUUUUACCACCGGAUGCGCCAGAUUACUGGUCUGUUGGCAGUCUGUCCGUUGAUUUGUUCGUACUUUGGGUCUGGGAAAUGAACCUCUGCUACCUUCCCUCCCCUAUCCAGCAUUCUACUGUAGCUCUCACAAGUCACAGCAGCAGCUGUUUCUCUGAGUUAGUACAUGCACUGGGAAAAUCAGUGGCUGUGAAUGACUUGCUACCUGCUAGUGCUGCUUAUGAUUCCCAAUUAUGAAUGAAUUGUUAGUGUCAAGAACGUAAUGUUGAGUCAUGAGCAGUUACUUCUAGUUAUCUGCAUGGAGCUCUUGUGGUACCGUUUUGCUUUACAGGCAUCUCUGAAUUGUUGAGGGCCUGAGAAGAUAGGCUGUUGCUCCAUGCAUGAUCUGCAUACAUCCAGUCCAAUGAGCACCUUAAGCCUUCAUUCUCCUUAUUGUAAUAUGAUGAAUAAAUGGUUUGGUUGAGCAAAACUAUCUUUUUGUUUUUAAAGAGUUUCAACUUCCAUAGUGAUACUAUAUAUUUUCCCAACACAAGUAUUGUGGGUGUUAGGAAAUGGUGCCUUUUGGUGCUGCCUGAUCAGUAAAGUAAUAACCUAGUGUCACCUUCGAGUGUUGCAAAUAAAAUUUUCCAUCAUCAGGCCUAAUCUAGCGCAUGCUGAUCUAAGAUGGGAAUAACACUCUUACACUUCAUGCAAUGGUGCCAGCGAAAGAAAACGGUUUAAAGACGCGGUGGUCCUGAGAUCUGUUAAGUCUCAAAAUAAAGUGAGGAACAACUCAGGGAACCACCCUGUGCUGUGCUGAGAAAUCAGCAGACUGUCUAUUUGUAGGCUGGACUGAACAUGAGCAACAUAAGCAGUGGCAGGUCAUCCAGUGUUUGAGUGGUGCACCCGAAUGUUCCUCCCAUCAAGCACCUGUUCAACAAAUUGUUACAGUACAAACGUGUGUUAGCUACACUACACAGAGGUGUUGAGAAGAUGACUUGCCUCACCUCACCGUUCAUCUUGUGCGCUGCUGCUGCAGCUUCAUCUUGUGAAGAAAAGGUGACAAAGCCAAACCCUUUUGACUUGCCCGUCGUUGGAUGGCAUACAACCUUCACUGUCGUGCAUAUGCAAGAAUCAUUCAGAUUACGAUUAGGGUUUAUGAGGUGAUAAGAAUAGCUACCUGAAAUAACAGCACCAUGUUGAGAGAAAGCGUCCUUGAGAGCUGUUUCAUUAGUAUCGUAAGAAAGACCUGCACUUUGGUACAAGAAACGGAAGGCAGCAAUUAAUUAGCAACUUUUACCAGACGAGGAUCAGGCAGCAGCAAGCAAUCCGCAAUCAUCAUCAUAUCAUCACAUUAUCAUAGAGGAGGGGAAAGGAAAGCUAAGGAUUACCACCGACGAACAGUUUGGAGGUGCAUCCAGUUCCAGAUGAAGACGCGGCGGUCCGAUUAAACAGCUUCCCGAACGGAAUCGCAGCACAGCGCAGCGUCCAUCCUCUCCUCCGAUUCAGUGCCAUCUCUUCUCUUGUCUGCAAAGAGCGAACGAAACCCUCAUCUGAAUCUGAUCCCAAAUCGGGAAGAGUUGUCCCUUUUGCAGUUGGCACCCCAGUGUAACCUCGUUAUUACAGCACCAUGCCCCUAUCCAAAUGCAUUCUUUUUUUUCUUUUCUUGUCGUUUUGUUCGGCUAGCUGUAGUUAGUAGCUGGUGCUGAUUUGUUAUCAGAGAAAAUUACUGCUGGUUAGUUGCUGAUUGAUAACUGAUGCUGAUUUAGUGUGAGAAAAAAUCACUGCUGAUUGGUUGGCUGACAAAAGAACAUAGCAGGGUGUAUUGAGAACAUUUGGUUAAGAGGAUUUGUCUUGUCUGAUAAACACAAUGCAAUGCUGACAAGACCGAGUACUAUUCGGAUCCUCGUCAUUUCCAAUUCAACGCCUUGCCAUCCCAUUGAGAGGGCAAAUAGGAGAGGGCAGUCUAUUGGGCAGUUGCAAUCCAAAGCCCUUCUCCAUUCUUCCCUCUCGGCGCCGGCGCCGCCGUCCGCCGGACCGGUGGCAAGCAUUGCUACAUUAUUCUAUAUAGAAGAAAGAGAUGGACUCGCUGACCUUUGUUUCCCCCUAGGUCUAGGAUUCUUUUAAAUAAAAAAAUGAGGAGUCGUCGUCGGAGAGCGUUCGUUGUCGCCGCCGAGCCGCUCCGUGCCGUUCUCAGAUCCGCCGAUGCCGGGCCUCCUCUCCACCUCGCCCGCCCUCCUGUGGCGCCGUCUCGGCCACCGCAGCGCCGCAUUCGCCCUCGCGCUCCUCGCCGCCGCCCUCCUCUUCACUUUCUUCCGCUACGCCGCGGUCCCUUCAGCAUCCCCAUCCCCAUUCCCAACCUACGGGCAUCGCCUCCCCACCCUCGUCGACCUCACGCUCGUCUACGGCAGGGACGCACUGUGCUUGGAUGGGACGCCGCCGGGUUACCACUUUCUGCCAGGAUUCGGAGACGGAUCCCACAGCUGGCUCCUUCACUUGGAGGGCGGCAGCUGGUGCCGCAACUUCAAAUCCUGCGCUCGCCGUAAGAAAACAAAUCUCGGCUCCUCUGCCCACAUGGAUACUCGCGUCAAAUUCGUCGGCAUCCUUAGUGACGAUGAAUCUCAGAAUCCAGGUAAUGCUGCCUUCCAAUGUUGCUGCAACUCCAGCCACCAACAACUACGGAUGCAAUGCAUAUUGGACUGCUCGAUUUGUUGCCUACUUUUUUUCAACACGGGCAAAGCCCUGAUUUCAUUACUCAUAGUAAUCAAAUUAACAAAGUUCCAAGUUUAGUAGCAAAAGUAACGGCCCAACCGGCCCACCGCACAGAGCAGACUCCAGGCAAAGUUCUAGCUUAUUACAGCAGACAGAGGGCUGCAAGAAGGUGAACUAGAGUAGUUACUAGUAGACCCAGACUACCAGCAGGACAGUUUUAACUAGAGAAAAGAAAGUGAUCGUCGGUAAGGAAAGAGGGUGAAGCUCAAAAGCCCGCCUAAGGAAAACAUCCAGCGGAAGACAUGAUGAUGAUCUUCAAGCUAGGGGCGUCAGUGAAGAAGCACCAUUCCUGUAUCCUCUGAUGGCACUUCAGAGGGUGGAACAUCAGCACCGCAUCUUUGAGGGCUUCUCCUCCCGCUUCCAGGGCCGCCAUGUCUUCGAUGCCUUGAAGUUCUGCCCAAAAUAGAAUAAACGAUGAAGCCAUACAAAUGAUCUCAGUAGGAGAUCGGACAAUUUUUUUUUCUCAAACAGAUGUUAUUGCGAGCUCUCCAAAGGGCCCAACAUAUUGCAGACAAGCCCACCAUAUGGAAUUUAGUGCCGUUUGCCAUAUAUUUUUGCACCCAAACCCAAAACUGAGCAAAAGUUGGGGAUCUGCAAUCUGCCCCUACAACUAAAGCAACUAGGCUCCAAACAAAUUUGGCCAUCGAGCAUUCAAAAAAUAAGUGGUUGAAGGAUUCAUUUUCUGGGCAGAAACAGCAUUUUGGAUCACUCUUCCACUUUCUUUUUAAAAGAUUAUCUUUAAUAAGAAUAGCAUUUUGGUGGAUGAGCCACAUAAAAAGUUUUGAUCUUUAAAGGUAUUUUUGCUUUCCAGAUUUUAUUGUUAGCUGAGUCGACUUCAUUCACAAACAUAUGUGAGUAUAAGGACUCAAGCCUCCACUUUUGUUCCAAAUCCAUUUUGGUUUAUCAUCUUCAUCAGUCACAGCAAACACAUUCAUCAAAUCUUUCAGUUUUCUCAGGCUGUCUUGGUUAGCCUCAUCUAACCAUCUUCUAAAACUUAGACGCCGGGAUCUAGAUAGAGGCCAUAAAGUUCACUGUGCAGUUUUGUUCUCUGCAGACUGGAAAUAGGUUGGGGAAUCUUUCUUUUAGUGGGAUGUUGUCACACCAUGAAUCAGACCAGAAGUCAAUCUUUUUCCCAUUCCCUAUAAUCGUCACUCUUCCCUUCAGAUACCAAUCCCUAACUUUCAGAAGGUCAUUCCACACAGCGGAGUUUUUGGGUUUUGUUUUCAGCUGGGCUAUUGUAUUCUGUUUCACAUACUUCUCUUGCACAAUUUCUUGCCACAGCCCUUCAGUAGAUUCCAGUUUCCACCACCAUUUGCAGAGUAAGCUCUGAUCCAUUUUCCUCAAGUCAUGUAUGCCCAAACCACCUUUCUUUUUUGGCUUACUGAUUUUGGUCCAUUUGGUUCCUCCCCCCUGCCACAAGAACGUCUUUCUGAUUCUGUCCAUUCUCUUCACAACUGUUUUGGUAGCAGGUACAUGGACAUACAAUAAAUAGGAAUGCUACUUGGGCAAGCUUUGAUCAGCACAGUUCUGCCUCCAAUGGAUAGUACUCCUCCCUUCCAGCCAUCAAGUCUUUAGUCAAAUUUUCAACAAGGGGUACCCAGUCCAUAACAUGUAGUUUUGAACCAGAGACUGCCACCCCAAAAUAUUUUAUAGGCCUGGCCAGUGGCACAGUUGAACAUCUCUGAGUAAAAUAUUGAUUUUUCUACAUCUUCACUAACCAUGAUAACUUCACUUUUGUUGAAAUUUAUCUUCAGGCCUGACAUGUUCUCGAAGAGAUACAAAAAAUAUUUCAUGUUUCUGGCUUUCUUUCAUCAUCUUCUAGACACAAUAUUGUGUCAUCAGCAUACCCUGUCUCACACCCUUGCCACACUUGAAGUAGCUUCCCAAGCUUUCAUUCACUUUCACACAUAGAGUGCCACUAGUCAUCACCUCCCAAAUCCACUGGCACCAUUUGUCAUCAAAGCCCCUCUGCCUGAGGCAAUCCAUCAGAAAAAUUCCAGUUUAUUUUGUCAUAUGCUUUCUCAAAGUCCAGCUUAAGGAUGAGCCCUUCUUUCUUUUUAAUUCUUGUGUCAUGUAGAAUCUCAUGUAAACACAAGACUCCUUCAAUGAUAUUUCUUCCCUUGAUGAAAGCAUUCUGAGCUUUAUUAAUUAUUUUGUCCAUGCAUCUCUCAAGCCUCAACAUGAGGGCUUUAGUAAUGAUCUUAUAAAUCACAUUCGAAAGCUAGAUUGGUCUAUAUUGUUGGAUCAAAUGUGCCUCCUUUAUUUUUUGGAUCAAAAUAAUUGUCCCAUAAUUCAACCUUCCUAAGUCCAGAUUGUGAAUAUUUUCGGGAUCAAAAUAUUUUUUUUUGUAUUUGUUGCCUACUGAUUCUGCAGAUUUUUACAAUUGGAACAAAGUCAAAAUAAGAUACUGUGAUGGUGCAUCAUUCUCUGGACAUGUCCAGGAUCAAGUCAAGAAUGGCACAGGUUUCUUCUUCAGAGGCCAGCGUAUCUGGGAAGCAGUCAUGGCCGACCUUCUGUCAAAGGGCCUAUCCAGGGCUAAACAGGCUUUUCUUACUGGAUGCUCGGCUGGUGGCCUCUCUACAUACAUUCACUGUGAUGAUUUCCGAGCACUUCUACCAAAGACACCUACUGUCAAGUGCCUCGCAGAUGGUGGCUUUUUUCUUGAUGUGUAUGCUACGAUCUUCUUUAACAUUUCUGCUCAUUGCAUAAAUUCGCUAGCUCUGUGCCACUUGAGAUUGUCUUGUUUUCUGGAUACUUUGGUUGAAAAACAAGUAGAGUUUGAGCCUACCUUAGCUUGCGUGAUUUUCGCUCGUUGCAGCUUGAGUUAUGACAUAAUUUAAUUGUUUUUUUCUCGAACACACAGGAGAGCUGCAUAUCUUUAUAUUAAGAGAGAAAUAAUAGUCCAAAUACAAAGAAACAUUCCACACCUUGGACUAGACUGAGGAACGUAAAGAUCUAGAAUAAAAAACUAUUACAUAAAAACAUGAAACAUAGGACCAGACCACAACUCGACCAUCUACUAGGCCUUCACCACACUCAUCUCGGGGCUUUGGGCAGUAAGCUUUUUGGCCCCCGAGAAUUGCCACAGCUGGGACUCCUUGAAGGCUUGCACCGCCACCUGCAGGUUUGGAGAAGCUCCUUCAAAGUUCAAACACACAAGCAUUCAUAUGCUUCCAAAGGAUCCAGGCCUUGCCACAGCUGGGACUCCUCCUUGAAGGCUUGCACCGCCACCUGCAGGUUUGGAGAAGCUCCUUCAAAGUUCAAACACACAAGCAUUCCUAUGCUUCCAAAGGAUCCAGGCCCUAAGUAUACACAAGGAGUUAAAACCCUUCCUGUGCUGUUUAGGAAGUCUCCUCUCAGCAUGUUUCCACCAGUCAGCAAAAUUCACACUCCGUGUGGGUCUCAACCGACUCAAGUUUAUGGGCUGCAAGAUGGCAUACCAGAAUUGCCUUGCAAAAACACAUGAGAUGAGGAUGUGUUGAAUGUUUUCCUCCUCCUGAUCGCAAAGAGGGCAAUGCUCAGGAUGAGGAAGACCUCUUUUCUGUAAACGAUCUGUGGUCCAACAACGAUUCCGAAUAGCCAGCCACACAAAUGUUUUGCAUUUCCCAGGUGCCCAUGACUUCCGUACUUUAUUCCAAGGUUCAAAAGUGAUUGAGCCGAUAAAAAAAACUCCUAUAGGCUGAUCUUGUCGAAAAUAAACCUGAGGCUUCAGGUUUCCACAUAUGAGUGGCUUCAUUGUCAUUGAGAGUAACACCCACCAACAUGUCCUAAUUUAAUUGUGGUAGACAUAAAAUAAGCUAUAACACUUGUCUUCCUUUUCUACUUGCACCAGCAGCUUUCAUGCUUCUUAUAUGCAAAAUUGUUAUUUGCCACAAGCAUUGCCCCUUUACGAGAAUGCAUAAAGCAAGUUCUAUGGAUAAAAUAUGCCGUGUUGGUUGAGUUUAGAAUGAUAUAUCAACAUUCAUAUGUUUCUGGCACUAUUAUGGCCUAAUUAACGUUAAAAAAUUUCUCAUCAUCUUGAUUUGUUUUGAAAAUUGCUUGGGAAUUGUGAUUUGGCUCCAGUUUGUUAUGACCUGUGUAUAAACCUGUUAUUUAGUUUGGUCAACUCAACUGAAACUGUGCUCACAUGUUUUUAUAAUGAAGAGCUGAGUGUAGUUUAGCUUUCUUGAAAUUGACUUGGUUGCAGCCCAAUCUGUUGCUACAAAUAAUUAGCUUAUUUCCAUUAACUAGUAAAAUGGCAUCAGAGAAGUGAAUUAGCAGCGAUUUUAUUUCUCCCUUCUUAUGCAUUACAGAGAAGACAUAGCUGGAAGAAGGUAUAUGCGGGCUUUCUAUAACGAUGUUGCUCGGCUGCAGGUCUCUCUCCACCACUCAGCCCAAAUGAAUCAGUGGCAUUCAUAUCGUAUUAUUCUCUAUAUGUUUUGUUGCAGAAUCUCCCUCUACCUCUCCACAACUCAGCCCAAAUCAAUCAGUGACAUUUAUAUCAUAUUAUUCUCUAUAUGUUUUCUUGCAGGAUGUGCGUAAAAAGUUCCCUAAUUGCAGUCCAGAUAUGGAGCCAGGGCAGGUUGUCCCCUGAUCUGUUUUAAGUUACCAUUUCCUUUCUUGAAACUAAUCACUCUCUUCAAUGUUCAAGCUGGCGUAUGCUAAUUAGUCCCCUUACUUGUUACCAGUGCUUCUUCCCGCGGGAAGUUGCGAAAAGCAUCACCACACCGAUGUUUAUACUCAAUCCUGCAUAUGAUGUUUGGCAGGUAGAGCAUGUCUUGUCUCCAGAAGGUUCUGACCCUCAAAAUUUAUGGCGAAAUUGCAGAAUGGAUAUUACCAAGUGUAGCUCAAAACAGCUGGAAAUUCUCCAAGGUUUUAGGAAAGCGCUGCUUGAUGCUAUAAAUGAAUUCAAGAAUAGAAGAGACUGGGGUAUGUUCAUCGACUCGUGCUUUAUACACUGCCAGUCGAUGAAAGCUAUUACUUGGCACUCCCCAUCAACUGCUAGAAUCAACAACAAGACGGCUGCUGAAGCGGUGGGAGAUUGGUUCUUUGAUCGGAGGGAGGUGAAGGAAAUAGACUGUGAAUAUCCCUGCAACCCGACUUGCUACAAUACGGUUCUUGAUGAGCCCUACAAGGAAGACUGACUGUGUUUAGGAGUUUUGGCGAUUUAUUAGGCGCAAUCGCAGUUGCAACCGAUUCUCCAUGAAUUGAUAUCUGUUGGGUUGAAUGUGAUCAGAAUUCAGACUUACUUGAGACCUAUUUCUAUAUGUUAAAGCCCCGAGGGGCAGCGAGCGGCCAGACAGGUCACGUAGGCCGGAAAAAUUCGACCGUCCGAUCGCGAUCCGAUGGCUAUGGAUGAAAGAGAAUUUUGCUAUUUCAGAGUACUAAAUAAAAUCUAUUUAAAUUUUUUUA